rnacentral:rRNA from 1 species
UUGAAAGGGAAACGAUUGAAGUCAGUCGUACCUGCGGGUAAUCAGCCUUUUGGGCAUGAUUCUGUGGAGCGUGAGGAGUUAAACGCCUUUAUGCCUGCAUAUUCGUGUAUUUUGGGUGUACUUGCCUGUGUGGUUAGUUAACAUCAAUUCUGGUUAUCAUAAAAUGGUUGGAGGAAUGUAGCUUCGAUUUCGAUUGAAGUGUUAUAGCCUUCGGCAGAUGUGAUGAUUGGGAUUGAGGAUUGCAACGGAUACCCUUCGGGGCUACCUGUCUGAUCUCUGAUCGUUGCUCUGGUGCCGAAAGCGUGCUUACGGUUAUCAAAGUCGAUGGUCAAUAGGUUAGAAUGGGUUAAAUUCGUUAAGGAUGUUGACGUAAAUCGAAUUCCC